GUCCAAUGGCUCAAUAGUAGAAUAUCUGCUUGCCGUGCAGGAGGUUCCAGAUUCAAUUCCUGGCUUCUCCA
rnacentral:tRNA from 1 species